AGUCGACCAGGCUACCUCUCCCCAUUAAUCCGUUUUUGUGUACGACACGGAUUAACUCUCGAGAAAUGAUAAGAUCACUUUUUCCGUAUUCCAUUAAGAUGUUGUUGUGUUAGCGACGCUUUGCAUAUUAGACGACGGGAUGGCUGAAGGUCACGCUGUUUCCACUCAGACUGUGAUAUCUCUUCUCCUGAUUUGCAUGAGCACGCGAGCAAGUCGAAUAAACGCUCGAAGAUACACGAUGUUAUUGCAAUAGCACGCAUUUGCAUAUAAGACAACUCGUUGGAUAAAGGUCGUACCUUUUUACUCUAGCCGGUGUCGCCUUUGCAACUCGAAGACAGGAAAAAUAAUUACUAUGCGAUACAUGUUGCGCCGCAGGAAAAAGAAGAAGAAGAAAAGACGCAGUAUACUAAUGACAGCUACCUCCAGGGGGGGAGGGGUUCCCCUCUCCCUGGACGCCAUCCUGUCAUUUGGAGCCUCCCACACCGAAAAAUGGCGGUUUGAAAUAGCGUCGAGAGCCGCCGUCUUUCUGACCAUCUGCGGCCGCUUCUGAAACAUCUUGUACCUCCCGCUUCCUCCCUCCCCUCUGCUAUGGCUUCCUUCUACUAACAUGUCACCGUGGGUCUCAUGAGCCUCUAGAGAUUACUCCGCACCAAACCCUGGCCAAUCGCCCUGUGUGGCUGGUGGCCACUGUUCCUAGUGGUGGAAGAAGAAGAAGCUACCUCCAUGCUGACUGCUUUGAUUUCUGAACAGAGCGAGCCAGCCCGGGUAAAGCCGUAAUUACCUCUCAAGGAUAAACGAUAAUAUCACUUUCCUCAUCACGUCUUUGGGGCGAGACGGUCGACGCUGCAGUCUCAUAGGCAAACGAAGCGACUUCUAUAUAAGACGGUUCGUCCGCAACGCUUUCCAGACUGAGCUGGAAUGCCAAGUGAAUGCCACUUGAUUGUUUUCAGGUGGAUUCACUUGACAUUCCAGCUCAGGUUUUUCCGUGCGGGUGUUUGACUGGAAAAGCAGACUAAGUUCAUCUUCCUUCUUUUGCUGUAACUACUCCGAGGAGGUUGAAGGGAAGAGUUUGAGAUCUUCCUUGACAACAAGGCAAAAAUGUGUGCUAUACAAUGGAGAAGAGGUGGAAAAACUUUUUUUUUCAAGUUAAUCCACUCGGGACUCCAGAUGAAGAUUUUUUUCUUCGUGAGAGUGUUUGACUGGAAAGACAGACUGUGGAGACGUGUUUGAGACGACACACAGGCUGCAUCCGAAAUUCGUGUGUGUAACCUCUUCUCCAUCUGCCACACACAUCUCUACCUAGCACAGGCUGCUCUUCAUCUGCGUCUGAUGAUGACGACCAUGCGCCAUCAAGCCGAGGAUCAACCUCAGGCCAUGUUGUGUCAUCGGCGGCUGACUUGUCUUGACUGGUCAUUACAAACCAAGUUCAUUCUAUACAGCAAGAGGAGAAAGCAAAUUGUCAUCAUAACAGCGAAGCCUCCACAACACAAGUAAGCUAUGUCAUCCGUCAUGGAAAAGUUGGAUAAACUGAAAAAAUGUGGUGACGGUGAAAUUCAGAAAAUGAGCAACAUACCCAAAAACGAAAAGUUCGAAGUGCUGGACAUUCAGAAAAUUGACACUAUGUAUGGCGAGGCAGUAUACGUGGAGCUCCGCAUGGAAAACGACAAGCCAGUGAAAGUGUAUCUACCUGGACGCUUCAAAAAAUUGUCGGAGGAAGAGCUAGAGGAAAUGCGACUGCUUCCAAAUCUCAAAAUGGAGAAGAAAGAACGGUUUACCAAAGAUGUUAAAAAAGUCAUUUUGCCAGAUAUUAUCUUCACCAAUUCGAAGAGAAAGUAAUGAGAUAUGGUGAUGUGUCACUUAUGCUCCCAGCACGAACGGCAGUAUUAUGCAACAGCAUUAGGUCUUCAGAUUCACUUAGCAAAUGUUCACAAUCUUCAAGCCCCCUGCAUUCCUUUUUGUGAGACUUUGUGCACACUGCGAAACUAUACUAAUCAGUUCGAGCUACAUUUACACGACAGGGACUUUAGCGGACAUGAUGUUACAACCUUUUUUCACGAGUACAGACAGUACAUUGCUGAUGUCUUACGACACUUUGGUUUCCCACUGCGCUAUUUUGUAUUGCUUAAAGUGGAACUUGGUCGUCACACGCCAGAUGAUAAGUUACAGCUCGAAAUUAGUUUCGUGCCUUCCAAAGUAGUGACAGUAUGGUCAGAGGCAGAUAUAGAACCUUCUAUCACUCAAGUGACUGCUGAAAUAGCACAAAAUUUGGAAAACCUCGAAGUAGAAGGUUCAGGUUUUUUUCUCUUUCGCAUUCAUGCCUGUAUCAUGAACAUUGGACGUUUGAUGCCUCAACUGAUUGGAUGUGCCCAGUUUGAGUUACCGCGAGAAUUGAAGCAUAAGUUUCGUUCUCUGUUGUGUGUGGACUUUGGUUUGCAUGAAGAUGAGCAGAACAUGUGUUUUGCCUUCUCUGUAAUAGCUGCACUGCAUCCUGCUACUGGUUAUCGCAGGCAUAGGGCAUCUUCAUACAGACCAUAUAUUUCGGAGUAUGUUUUUCCGAAAACAUUCCCGGUAGCUUUCCCAAAAGAGGUUGAAGCAUUUGAAAAAAAUAAUGGUAUCAGUAUCAAUGUGUACGCCUACGAAAGGGAAGACAAAUCUCUGUACCCCAUCAAGGUUGUCGAUGACGAGCGUGAGAAACAUGUGGAUCUGUUGCUAAUCGACUCUCAUUUUCUGCUUAUCACAAAUUUUAAUGAAUUAUUUCAACCUAGCGGACGGUUCCAUUGCAAGAGGUGUAUGAUGGGCUUCUCAUCAGACAGAAUCCUCAGUGAUCAUUUAAAGAUGUGUUUGCAUCAGAAGGUUGCUAAGACAAUUUACCCUAAGAAGGGAGAGACGGUAGCAUUUGCCGGGGAACAUCUCAUGUCGGAAGUCCCUUUCAACUGUGUAUAUGAUUUUGAAAGUGUUUUGUCACCUUGUUUGGGGGAAACAAACGUGUAUGAGGAUCACUGUCCUUCCUCAUUUUGCCUUUUGGUUAUACGUGCAUCCGACUCACACGUGUUGCAAAAGCAUCUUUUCCGUGGUCCUAAUUGUGUCACAGUAUUUAUGGAGCUGCUGCGGAAAUUGCAUGACGAAAUUUUAGGAUGGAUACAUGCUUUUGCACCUCUAGAAAUGACCGAAGAGAAUGAGCGUCAACAUACAGCAGCCACUCAUUGUAAUAUCUGCAAAGAAUCCUUUGCUAAAAGACAAAAAGUUCGAGACCAUGACCAUGUAAGCGUAGAAUUUCGACAAACACUAUGUCAGACGUGUAACCUGAAACUGAGAGUGCCACCCAAGAUUCCAAUCAUUGCACAUAAUGCUAACUAUGACAUGAGUUUUCUCCUGUCUCAUUUACAUCUGCUUAAGAAGUCAGACAUCAACGUGAUUGCCACCAGCUGUCAAAAAUUUAAAGCAAUUGACAUCGGCUCUUAUCGAUUCUUGGACAGUUUGAGUUUUCUGAACGCAAGCCUUGAAACACUGGUGAAAAAUCUACGUGAUAAAGGUGAAUCCAACUUUCAAUGCCUUCGCCAGUUUUUUCCAAAUGAGGAGCACUUUCAGCUGGUUGUUCGUAAGGGGGUCUUCUGUUAUAACUUUGUCACCAGUUUUGAA